rnacentral:lncRNA from 1 species
UGUGUGAGCCUCUACUGGAAAGACAGAUGAUUUAGCUAGGGAAAGUAGCGUUCUAGCCACAAUUCCAGUCUGCGAAACGUGAAACUAUGCGAUGCAUGUAUGUUGUAAUGCCGUUGAUGUCUCUACUGUUUUGUGUAUUCUUCGCGUCAAGCGCUCCAACCAGCUGUAUACCACGAAAAUGCGCUUUUAGAGGAUAUGGAUGCGUACCGUUGAAGCUUUGCCAAGAAAAGCUAUCAAUGUGCCGAAGUAGAUGUAACAACCGAUCUGUUUGCUGCCAACUCAAACAAAUGAAGUCCUGCUCCUUGGCUGGAGGAACUUGUAACAGAACUUGCGAAGUUGAAAACAACAGGAUCAAAUGCCCUGGACAACUGAAGUGCUGUGUUCAUUUGGAGCGCUAAGCAGCCACUGCCUCAGCUUGCCUGCAUGCGAGACAUAAUGCCGGCUUGAUGAACGAAAACCUUACGAAUCAUUGUCCAUAUCCUUCUACCCAUUUGAUGCUUCAAAUAAAAAACAAACGU